rnacentral:rRNA from 1 species
AUUGAACGCUGGCGGCAUGCCUUACACAUGCAAGUCGAACGGCAGCACGGGAGCUUGCUCCUGGUGGCGAGUGGCGAACGGGUGAGUAAUACAUCGGAACGUGCCCAGUAGUGGGGGAUAGCCCGGCGAAAGCCGGAUUAAUACCGCAUACGACCUACGGGUGAAAGCGGGGGACCGUAAGGCCUCGCGCUAUUGGAGCGGCCGAUGUCUGAUUAGCUUGUUGGUGGGGUAAAAGCCCACCAAGGCGACGAUCAGUAGCUGGUCUGAGAGGACGAUCGGCCAAACUGGGACUGAGACACGGCCCAGACUCCUACGGGGGGCAGCAGUGGGGAAUUUUGGACAAUGGGGGCAACCCUGAUCCAGCAAUGCCGCGUGUGCGAAGAAGGCCUUCGGGUUGUAAAGCACUUUUGUCAGGGAAGAAAUCUUUCAGGCUAAUACCCUUGGAAGGAUGACGGUACCUGAAGAAUAAGCACCGGCUAACUACGUGCCAGCCGCCGCCGUAA